rnacentral:tRNA from 1 species
GUUUUAAUAGUUUAACCAAAACAUUGGUCUUGUAAACCAAAAUUAAGAAUAUUCUUUUGAAACU